ACAAAGAGCUGAGACUUUGUAGAUUACUACAGUUUUGGGAAAGAUGGAGAUUCGACGGUUAGGUUAACCGUAAUCGAGAGCAAUUAACUUGCGCUUGAAUUUCGGGACGAAAUUCCUUUAAGGGGGGUAGAUUGUAAUAACCUGUUUUGACAACUUUUAGUGGAAUUACUGUUAAUAAAAGAAAAAGGGUGGCAGACAACUUUCUGAUUUUAGGGAGUAAAGCUCGGAGACUUGUUUAUUUUCCUGUUUAUGCAUAAUUGAUGAGAGCUAGCAAGCAGACUAGCAUCUCUCUCUCACUCACUCUGUUUCACUUCAAAAAAACAACAGAGCAUUAGUUCUCUAACUCUGUUCUUCCUCCAUCAACCACCUCCAGACGUCGGAUCACUCCCUUUGGCUUCGCCUGAGGCUACUCUACCUACUGGACGUCGUCUUUUUCCCCGGCACGGCCUCAAGGUUUGGCAAACCAGCUCGAACCCGGUUGCACCCGAAACCGAACUAACUCAUCCUCCUCGUGUUUCCGGCCACCAAUUCCCCCCAAACUUCAUCCUCGAGCUCGCCUCAACGUCCUGAAGCUCCCAGAAGUGGCCUUGCACGGCGGCGCUACUCGUGGUGGCGGCUGGAAGCCAGACCCGAUCAAAAUCGAAAACCGAGGCUUUCGAUCGAUAUAUCUCGCGCUAUAGGACGUCGUUUUGAGUGUUUCUUGAGCUGGUGAACUCAGAUUGAAGUUCUGAACAACUUUCAUGAAGGGAUCGAAGCGAGAAAUUGAAGUUUUUACGUCGGAAUUCAAGCUCGCCGGAUUCUGGAAAUUUUCCGGCCACCGACGCUUUCGAUCAAGAUAUCUCGAGCUACAGACCAUAUUUUUCUGUGAUUCUUGAACCAGUGAGUUCUUCUUGAGUUUCUUAACAACUCUUCAGAAGGAAUCGAAGCCUUAAAUUGACGUUUUUACGUCGAAUUAGAGCUCGCCGUUUUCUGCAGUUUCUCGCCGGUUUCUGGAAAAUUCCGGCCACCUUCAUACUGUUCAAGGUGAUCGACGGUUUGAUUUGGCGGACGAUUCGUGAAAUUGUAUUUUGAGCUGUUAAGAAGACGCAGCGGGAAUUUAGAGCGGGUAAUCCUACAGGACAGGAGAAUCAGGAAGGUGAUCGAGCUGUGUAGAGUAGCUGCUUGUGAUACUCUGAUUUUAUGUUGUGAGGUUCGUUAUGCUCGUUUAGAGUUUUACAAUUUUACUUUGUAAGAGGGAAUUGUAAUAAUUAACUCGAAGUUUACCGAUUUGGAAAUUUUGUGUAAGUGGUGGAGUUGUUUCUGAGAAAAGAA